UAAAGGAGCAAUUCGCUAUAAGAUGGACCCGCGUCGCAUUAGCUAGUUGGUGAGGUAAUGGCUCACCAAGGCGACGAUGCGUAGCCGACCUGAGAGGGUGAUCGGCCACAUUGGGACUGAGACACGGCCAGACUCCUACGGGAGGCAGCAUG
rnacentral:rRNA from 1 species